CUCAGGGAGGUAGUGACAAGAAAUAACAACACUGGAAAUUUUAUUUCUAGUGAUUGGAAUGAUGGGAAUUUAAACCCCUUUCAGAGUAACAAUUGGAGGGCAAGUCUGGUGCCAGCAGCCGCGGUAAUUCCAGCUCCAAUAGCGUAUAUUAAAGUUGUUGCAGUUAAAAAGCUCGUAGUUGGAUAUCUGCUGGAAGCAAUCAGUCCGCCCUAUUUGUAGGGUGUGCACUUGAUGAAUUCUGGCAUUUUUGUCCCAAUGAUAAUAYGGCGGAAGGAGGGGUAAAACCCUAUUCCGUACUGUUCUUAUUGGGAUACUGUUACUUUGAGAAAAUUAGAGUGUUUGAAGCAGGCUAAUUGCCUUGAAUACUGCAGCAUGGAAUAACAAUAUAGGAUUUCGGUUCUAUUUUGUUGGUUUCUAGGACUGAAAUAAUGAUUAAUAGGGACAGUUGGGGGCAUUCGUAUUUAACUGUCAGAGGUGAAAUUCUUAGAUUUGUUAAAGACGAACUACUGCGAAAGCAUUUGCCAAAGAUGUUUUCAUUAAUCAAGAACGAAAGUUAGGGGCUCGAAGACGAUCAGAUACCGUCGUAGUCUUAACCAUAAACUAUGCCGACUAGAGAUAGGAAAAUGUCAUUUUGCUGACUU
rnacentral:rRNA from 1 species